rnacentral:rRNA from 1 species
AGAGUUUGAUCAUGGCUCAGAUUGAACGCUGGCGGCAGGCUUAACACAUGCAAGUCGAGCGGAAACGAAAGUAGCUUGCUACUAGGCGUCGAGCGGCGGACGGGUGAGUAAUGCUCAGGAAUCUACCAAGUAGUGGGGGAUAGCCAUUGGAAACGAUGAUUAAUACCGCAUAUAUCCUACGGGGGAAAGCAGGGGAUCUUCGGACCUUGCGCUAUUUGAUGAGCCUGAGUGAGAUUAGCUAGUUGGUAGGGUAAAGGCCUACCAAGGCGACGAUCUCUAGCUGGUCUGAGAGGAUGAUCAGCCACACUGGGACUGAGACACGGCCCAGACUCCUACGGGAGGCAGCAGUGGGGAAUAUUGCACAAUGGGCGAAAGCCUGAUGCAGCCAUGCCGCGUGUGUGAAGAAGGCCUUAGGGUUGUAAAGCACUUUCAGCGAGGAGGAAAGGUCAGUAGCUAAUAAUUGCUGGCUGUGACGUACUCGCAGAAAA